AAUGGUAUAGCUCAGUGGUAGAGCACAUGCCUAGCAUGCAUGAGGUCCUGGGUUCAAUCCCCAGUACCUUCU
rnacentral:tRNA from 1 species